AGUGAACGCUGGCGGUAGGCCUAACACAUGCAAGUCGAACGGCAGCACAGUAAGAGCCUGCUCUUACGGGUGGCGAGUGGCGGACGGGUGAGGAAUACAUCGGAAUCUACUUUUUCGUGGGGGAUAACGUAGGGAAACUUACGCUAAUACCGCAUACGACCUACGGGUGAAAGCAGGGGAUCUUCGGACCUUGCGCGAUUGAAUGAGCCGAUGUCGGAUUAGCUAGUUGGCGGGGUAAAGGCCCACCAAGGCGACGAUCCGUAGCUGGUCUGAGAGGAUGAUCAGCCACACUGGAACUGAGACACGGUCCAGACUCCUACGGGAGGCAGCAGUGGGGAAUAUUGGACAAUGGGCGCAAGCCUGAUCCAGCCAUACCGCGUGGGUGGAGAAGGCCUUCGGGUUGUAAAGCCCUUUUGUUGGGAAAGAAAAGCAGCAGGUUAAUACCCCGCUGUUCUGACGGUACCCAAAGAAUAAGCACCGGCUAACUUCGUG
rnacentral:rRNA from 1 species